ACAGAUGUAACUGAGGCACUGAAUAAUCAACAUAUCGGAGCCAAUUCCCAGGACGGCAAGAGGGGGAACCGGCAGAGAUGACUGACCCUGGAGGACAAGAGCAUUCUUCUGACAAGUUUUAGCAUGGACUAUCCUCAGGAAAAUGAGAUCCAGGAAGAGUGACGCCCUCCUCGAACUGAAAGAUACUCAGGUUGAUGGAGUCAGGGACGAAGUGGCUUAUCAACAACACAGGAUGUCUGCAGGGAACAGAACUUAUUCAGACAUGGCCCAGAUUGUCUGCCCGUGGGGACUGAGGGACCUCUGAGGGUUACAUCAGGAAGGAAGGAGAGGCUGUUUCUACAGGUGCCACAGAAAAAUCGAUGCUGAGCCUCGGAUUAUUGGAUCCCAUAGAACCGUGGAGACUUGGCAGUGAAAUUCUUCCAAAGCAUUCCAUCUGCGCAGGCAGGCAGAGGUUUUCCUGGUUUGGGAAGUAUAAAUCCCGUGGGAAGUCAACUGGAGGACAUUUUACGCGUCACUCAUCCUAUUAUGAGCCUGCUGCUCCUCCGUCUCUUGACAAGGCCACCAACUAGAAGGGCACAGAAUUGUUCAUAAAACAGCUGAAUGUGAAUGUCUUUGGAUUCCCAUUUAAUGAGUUGGCAGCUAAAGGACAGGAGCAGCAAUAAGGCUUCCUGGCUACAUUUUCAUGGUGCCACCAACUGCGAGUUAAGCUGACAAACAUUUUGAGAGCUCGGCCCAUUUCAUUCCCAGCAGGAUGGCAGGAGUUAACUAAAACAGAAUAAACUAAAAAUUGUGCCUUCAUUGCACAUUUGCACUGAUUAUCAGCACUGAAAAUGGCUAAGUUCUGCUUAUCAAGAGCGGGUGACUGAUUGUCCCUGCCAGCUGGCUAAUAUCAUAAUUAGCAAAGUUGCUACCACAUCUGCAAAGUUUAAUCGAAAAAUUUACCAGUGGUAUGAUGGCAUUGUCACCGCGAUCCUGAGGGAAUCAGAGUCGACUUCUGCUUCAACUGGAAUGGCAAGGCUGUAGAGCUGAGAUGAGAAACUGUAAACUUGCUCAGCCAAAGGUUAUGCUUCACAUCACCCACCAGGGAGGAUCAUCUCUCAUGAAAACUUUCAAAUUUGAUUUUGAAAAUUUAUUCAGAAAAAUUUAAGCCACGCUCUUUCCCAACACAGGAAAUAAUAUGCUCCAGAGAAUCCUCUAAUUCACCGAAAAUGGACUUGGAUAACAUUUGGGUUCUCAUACUACCACAGUCCUCUUGAGAAGGACAGCCAGGCUUGGGUGGCAGUGGUGAGGAAGGUUCCUUUCUGUCAAGGGAGCUGAUGCCUUAAAGAAGCUAUCUCCAGAUAAAGGGAGAUCUAAGGAAGGAAGCCAACGAAAGACACCAUGUACCAGAAAGCCAAGCAGGAUUUUGACAUUUAUAACCAUAAUCUCUAUAAACAAGAUGAAUUAUGGCUGGGGAUUCAGUUAGUAAAUCAACGAAAAUAAAUCCUGGUAAGGUAAUGAUACAAUUUUAUCAUUUUUUGUUGAAAUCUAACAGUGUAUAGUAUGCUUUGCUGCAAUCAAAGACCUGCAGUAUUUUGUGUGCUAAACUCCAAUGACCCAUCAUUUAUUUUCUCUUUAUUCCACCUACUUACCUGUGAUAAUAACCAAAUAGCCUCACAUUUCCCCUUUCAAAGUUGUAUCUCAAGAGGAAAGCUCACUGACCCCACACAUUAGCCCUCCAGUAGCUCCAGCUGAGAAGUACUCUCUCCUCCAUUUUUUUCAGUGCAUAAUUCAAAGAUAACCCAAAUAAGAACAGAAAGUUGUGUGUCAUAGUCACUGGCAUCUAUCCGGUGCUUCUGAACCAUGAACCACAUGACCUGAUUAAAGAGGUUGCUGUGAGUGUGUUGUACUCUUCGUGAACUAAAUUCCAUGAUGACAGAAAACAAACCUGAAAACAAGAGUUAUUUCACAACUCUAGAGCUCCACAGAGUCGGCUGCAAUUGGUUGAGUUGAGGUGAAUUUUCAGUGGACCUGGAUCAGUGUAGAAGGGCAGGAACAUUGGCCCAGCACAGCCCCAGGCUGUGCAGCAUUCAAUGUGACUUGGGACUGGCCUUCCUGGCUCUGCCUUGCCGGUGAAACAUGGAUUGGAAGCUUUGAAUGUUGGAAGAAAUAAACAAGUCUUGGUUGGAGUCCCAGUUUCAAUAACCACAUAUUUUCAAACCUAGACAAAUAUUCUGGUCUCAUCUCCUCAUUUGGAUUACUUCAAUCCUCGGAGAGAACGGAAUAGGACUCUGUAUUUCUUUGGAUGUUCAACACAGUGUUUAACUAAUGGGUGCUAUUUGAAAUAUUAUCGUCUAUUAUCAUUGCUAUUCUAAUAAGGAUGAUACUUGCUAUAAAUAUUAUUGAGAAAAAAAACUUGGAAGUGUUCUUGAGCAACAUAAACAGUACAAAAUGACAGAUAUUAAACACCGUUCUUUUUUGCACGUAAAACUAUACAAAUAAAAAUAUAGAAAAGCUUG
rnacentral:lncRNA from 1 species